AGCAGUAGCCGCGGGAAUACAGAGGGUGCGAGCGUUAAUCGGAUUUACUGGGCGUAAAGCGUGCGUAGGCGGCUUCUUAAGUCGGAUGUGAAAUCCCUGAGCUUAACUUAGGAAUUGCAUUCGAUACUGGGAAGCUAGAGUAUGGGAGAGGAUGGUAGAAUUCCAGGUGUAGCGGUGAAAUGCGUAGAGAUCUGGAGGAAUACCGAUGGCGAAGGCAGCCAUCUGGCCUAAUACUGACGCUGAGGUACGAAAGCAUGGGGAGCAAACAGGAUUAGAGACCCCAGUAGUCCCUGUCUCUUAUAU
rnacentral:rRNA from 1 species